rnacentral:rRNA from 1 species
UGAGGAACACGACUUUCGGCGGGGGAUAGCCGGCCCAACGGCCGGGUAAUACCGCGUACGACCACAUGGGGACAUCCCUGAGUGGUGAAAGCAGCAAUGCGCCGAUGGAGUGCCUCGCGGCCUAUCAGCUAGUUGGUGAGGUAACGGCUCACCAAGGCAACGACGGGUAGCUGGUCUGAGAGGAUGGCCAGCCACAGUUGGGACUGAGACACGGCCCAGCUCCGUAGGGACG